GGCUUAACCAUCUUACCUUGGUGUGCUACGGCAGGCCAUAGUUGUGGUCUUUCUCUCUGAGAAGGCUGUCAAACUGACGGUGUUUCCGGCCUCUAGAUUGGAGGAAAUUAACAGUUUGGACAACCACCUUCAUGACGUUAUCCAUCUUUAAUGCCUUGCAACACAAAGCCUCCUGAUGCAAAAUACAGUGAAAUGUCCAAAAUUCCGUCCCCCAUUUGCAGUCUGAACUUUUUCUCUGAACUCACAACACCUGCUUUUUCCCGAUCAUUGAGGGCACACCAUCCGUAGUCAGGCUAACAGCAGGGGACCAGUCCACUCUGAGCCUGUCCAGCACACCCAUGAGUGUGGUGUAAAUAUCAGCUGCUGUUGUGGUGUCCGUCAUUGGCACCAACUCCACGAACUCCUCGGUGACGGUCAAAGUGCCAUUAACUCCGCAGCCUUUAGCAUGCAUGUUUUCACAAAUUCAUCCUCAUUAAAUGGUUUUGAAGCAACUGCUAUUUCAUUAGCAAUAAGGUAGCUAGCUUGUGUCACUGAUUUCUCGGCUAUGAGUAAACACAGACUGCUGUUUCUUCAGAACCACCAAAAGUUCAUUCACCUUCUCUCUUGUCCUUGAAAGUUGUUGUAUUUGUUGGCAUGAGGAGUCUCAUAGUGGCGACAAAGAUUAUAUUCUUUUAGCACUGAAACAUGCUGUGAACACACCAAACACACAGCUUUCCCAUUCACUUCCUUGAAUUAGGAGGAUGACCAUUUUUCCUGGAACACUCUGCACUCUGCAUCCACUUUUCUCUUUUUUGACAGACAUCUUGGGGCAUUGAGGGGGCAAAAGUGUGACAUGUCCAAAGUAGAAGACGUAAAAGAGCAGACACAACACAAGGUAGCUCCAGAUUAGCUGUACUUGCUUAGAAAACCUGCUCAGUCCACUUUAUAAACAGUUUGCUUGCUUAACAAAAUUGCUAUUGUGACAUCCAGUGGACACAUUUUGAAGAGCAAUUUGUUUCAUGAAAAAAUUACAGCUCAUCUUUAUACUUUGCAAAGUCAUCUCAUGGGCUGGAUUAAACCCAUUUGCGGGCCUGAUCCAGCCCAUGGGCUGUAAGAAUGACAACCCUGCUGUAAAGCGUACCAACUUGUCCUUCUGAUCGGUCAUAGCUGUAUUCGAGCAGUCGCUCACGGUCCAGAGUUUUUUCCUAUACAACAUGAAGUUUGUCAGCAACAAGCCUUUUGUGGGCACUAGUGAGAUAUCAAGAUUCCUAUUUAAAGUGAAUGGAGCCGCUGAAAACAUGGGGUGGUCUCCAUAUUUGGAGUUUGAUUGUGAUGUCAUACUUUGAGGUAGAAAUUUAGAUGAGACCUGAACCCUUCAACCUGUGAAAACCGCAUUUCAAUAUCUCUUACAGUUUUCCUAGAAAGUGGGUUUGUUUGGGCCAGUCCUGUUCUAAGCAGGUAGAGGCUCAGUGAGGAAAAGUCUGUCACAGGUGAACUGCAGGUGCACUGUCACCAUAGAGACAAUUCCCACUCAGAGCACAAGGCCUGCCCACCUGGUCUUGAUUGACAGCUGUCUUCCAGACACAACAACACAGAGACAGCCGGAUUACCAAAGUUUCAAGUCAGAUUCAUGACAAAGGCUCUAAAUCAUCAACGCUUUGACAUAUCAGCACCAUAUUUGACACAUCCCCUUGUGACACCACUCUGAAGACAUGUCCCACUCUGCAGCCAUCUUGGAUGACCCCACCAUCCCCAAACAGGAAGUAGCCCUCAUGUAUCUCCACCCAAAACAUGGCCUAAAUGUGAGUAAAUCAGCAGCAAGCAGCAGCGAAUCAGCAAGCGGGUAGGCACAUUUUAAAAUUUCCCUGGAAUUUUCUAGUUGUCCUUGUUCUUGCUUUAUUUAGUUCAGUUAUAGUUCUAUGGUAAAAACUGUUCUUGAGUCUGGAGGUGCAGGAUCUGAGUGCCCUGUAGUGCCUUCCAGAGGGUAGCAUGGAAUACAGGUGAUGACUGAGGUGGCUGGGAUCUCUGAGUAUGUUGGUGGUGGUGCGAAGGCAGUGUGUUUUGAAGAUGUCUUCCAGUGAGGGUAGACUGAGUCCAAUGAUCUUUUCUGAUGUUCUUAUGACUCCUUAAAGGCUUGGGUAAGACUUACUUUUGUUGCCCCCAAGUCAAAGACAGUCAAAGUCAGGCUGAAACCUUUGCCUCAUUUCAGUUCAGAGUCUCCAACUCUGCAGACCAAUUCCAGAGAAAGUCAGCCAUGGGGCAGCCUGAGCAGAUUCAAGGAUUAAAUUAGGUUCACAUGACAUGAUACGUAGAAACAAAUAUAAUCAGUGGAGGGAGGAGGGGAAUUGUAAGAACAGUCUCUGUGCUGUAGUGGCUGACUGACCCAGCUGCUCUCAGAUCACACAAAUAAAAUUGCAUCUGAUAACCGACUCAUACUUUCUCUUUAUCGACUAUUCUCUUCUUUUUACUGUUUUUAUCUUCUCUUCCACUUCUUCAUUUUACAUGAAGUUUGAUUGCCUUUCUUUUUGUCCGUCUUGAACUGACCUAAAUUUUAGUUUAGUUCACAAAGAGCAAAUCUGCAAAGGUAAUCUCUGUCCUCGAAAUUUAUGGAACAUUCAUCUAAUCUCCCUUUCCCUUUCGGAUUAAAAAAAGAGAGGGGGAUGACUGUAAGAGUAAAACAAUCCCAAACAAAAUAUUUGUAAGGAAACAUCUCAUGGAUCUAGUAAGAUAUUUGAGUCACCAGAGAAAAGGAGUGUUUUCCCACUCCUGUUAGAGGUAGAAGUUAAUCUCAGAUGGUGCAGGUAAGGUAGGUGGUCAGGGUGAGAACAGGGCCAGCCAGCCUGGAAGGUUUUGGAGACUCUGUGUCCGGUUCAAGGACAAACCAGCACAGAUGUACAUGUCAAAAGGGUUUUUCUGUUAUCAAUCACUGUUGGCUGGUGGGCUCAGGUCAAUGAAAGGUUACCUGCAGGCCACUGAAGUUCAACUUUUAGACUCACGACAGCACCUGAAAUGCAAUUUAAUGUAAGACAGGAAAGCACAACACAAACAGAACUAUACACACACUACAGGCCAAAAGUUUGGAAGCAAGGCCAUUACAGGCUGAACAGCUGGGAGUAACUUCAAGUUUUUUGUUCACAAUGCUUUUUUUAAAAUCCAGCAUGAGUAGUAUGUAUUUUGGGAUGUAUUUACUCCAUGAUCAGAUGUUGCUUUCAUGGAAAUGCACCAUUUUACUCCAUUUACCUUUGGAUAUACAUUGAUGUUAACGGACCAUUGCUAGAUAUAUGUCAGCAAAAGAUAAGGGCUUAGUUUUAGGGUUGCAAGAGUCACAACUUCAGUGCAAAAGCAAAAAAAAACAAAUCACAGUUGGAUUAUUCACUUCAAUUUUUUGGCUUUUGAGAGCCUGCAUACAAAAAUCCUAAUAAAUCUCAACUGCAUUCAAAAUACUACAAAAAUGGCUAGAAAGAAGCAACUGAGUAAAGAAACAAAAGUACAGAUUUGUACAUUGAGGAAAGCAGGAUACACAGAAAGAGAAAUUGGCCUUAAGGUGUUUAACAAAGGAGUCCACUACACUCUGAAGAGACUAGAGUAACCUGGAAGUUAUGAUGAUCGAAAAAGGCCUAGAUGAAAGAGAGUUAGCAUUGUCAUCAGUAAGAGAGAUCACCGAAAGACAGCACCACGAAUAAGGGAGGAAAUCUACAUGACAAGGUUGAAACCCAUAUUUCUGACAACUGUGAAAAGACGUUUGAGAAAGGCCGGUCUGAAGGGUUGUGUAUCUGCAAAAAACACUGCUUCGUCCACAGAACAAGAAAAAGAGAUAUGAGUGGGCAAAAGCUCACAAAAAUUGGACUUAUGAUGACAAGAAACAAGUUUGCACUGUUUGGUUCAAAACGCAGAGUCUAUGUCUGCAGACAAACUGGUGAACGUCUGAAAGUACCACGUGUUACACCCACAAUUCAGCAUGGAGGUGGUAGUUCCAUGGUAUGGGGAUGUUUUGCAGGUGAUGGAGAAGGAGAUUUGUUUGAAGUAAAGGGUAUCAUGAAGAAGGAACAAUACCACUCCAUCCUCCAGCACCAUGCUGUUCCAUCUGGACUCAGACCUGUGGCUCAUAAGUUUUUUUUUGCAGCAAGACAAUGACCCAAAGC
rnacentral:lncRNA from 1 species